CGUGUAGGCGGCUAGAUAAGUCAGAUGUGAAAGCCCUGGGCUCAACCCGGGAAGUGCAUUUGAAACUGUCUUGCUAGAGUAAGGGAGAGGGAAGUGGAAUUCCUGGUGUAGAGGUGAAAUUCGUAGAUACCAGGAGGAACACCAGUGGCGAAGGCGACUUCCUGGCCCUAUACUGACGCUGAGACGCGAGAGCGUGGGGAGCAAACAGGAUUAGAUACCCUGGUAGUCCACGCCGUAAACGAUGUUCACUAGGUGUUGGAGGUAUUGACCCCUUCAGUGCCGGAGCUAACGCAUUAAGUGAACCGCCUGGGGAGUACGGUCGCAAGACUAAA
rnacentral:rRNA from 1 species